rnacentral:misc_RNA from 1 species
AUUGAUUAUGCUAUUUGAAUGAAAUAAGUAGCCCAUUCUUGAUAUAUAUGUGCCUUGUUGUUUAUGAGGCUUGAGAUGCCUGUGCAUAUAUAUUAUUGCCUCCUUUGCUUGAUGUGUUUGUUGUGCUUGUGAUGUUUGCUUAUAUGAGAUGUUUGGAGAGUUUCCCUCAAUUGGCUUGCUAAAGCCCCAUUAUAGUGAAAUGCCCUUUUAAUGUUCAGAUUAUUAUGAGAAUCUCCUGGCUAACUUGUCUUGAAAGAGCUCAAGCCAAGUGCCACACGGUCCCAAGUGAGUUCUAAAACUUGGGCCCGUGACACAUAGGAGGUACGUAGGCAGCCUUUGAAUGCAGUCCAAAGAGGGUAAACUUUGUUUUCUUAUUUAUAUUUUUUUGUUUUGAAUUUCUUUUAUCAUUCAUCUUUUAUGGGUUAUGUUUAGACAGACAAUCAACUUUUGAAUUUUUGUUUGCUAGUAAUAUUGAGGAUUAUAAUAUAAUGCCACUACUGAAUAAAUAUCCUUAAUUGGGUUUUUUCUGAAAUUACAAGCUUUGUACUUGAUUUUAAUUGUUGGUUUCUUAGGCAAACGAUGUUAUAUUCAAUUGGACACUUUUACAUUUUACAUAGAUUGAAUAUAUUAGAAAAAAGAAAAUUUAUGUCUUUAGUAGCUAUUAUAUUCAAUUAGUCCUUUCUUCAAAGAAAAUUUGUCACUUUAGUUACAGUUUACCAUGUUCUACUAGUUAGAGGAUAGGGUGUGACACCCACAAUGACAAACGUGACAAUCUCCUGCACUCCCUUGGUUUUUUGAAUCCUCGAGGCCAUUGAUCUAUUCUCCUCCACUCCCACAGACAAAGACCUACGGACUACUUGUGUCUUGCCUCGCAUGCAUGCUCUUUUCUCCCUUGGCCCUCAUUCACUUGUGUCUCGAUUGUAGCAUUUCCUGAUCUGGGGUGGGGUAUGAUUGAAGCUUGCUGGAAUGUUGGUCUGCUCGUUGACGACUUGGUGGUGGAAUGGAAAUAAGGGUUUUUAGAAAUGCCAGGUUUGCCUUGGUGCUCUGUUCUGCAUAAAUGCAACUAUGUAAUUUCAAAUUUUCAUCAAUUCAGUGUAAAUGUAAUUUUAUGAUUUUGAAUAAAUUUUAUGACCUUGAGACUGACUAUGACUAUGAUUUUGAAUCAAUUUUGUAA